AUUGAACGCUGGCGGCAGGCCUAACACAUGCAAGUCGAGCGGAGCGGCGGACGGGUGAGUAAUGCCUAGGAAUCUGCCUGGUAGUGGGGGAUAACGUCCGGAAACGGGGGCUAAUACCGCAUACUAGCAGAUGAGCCUAGGUCGGAUUAGCUAGUUGGUGGGGUAAAGGCCUACCAAGGAGACGAUCCGUAACUGGGCUGAGAUGAUGAUCAGUGACACUGGAACUUAGACACGGGCGAGGCCACUACGGUCGGCAGCAGUUGGAAAUAUUGGACAGUGAGCGAACGCCUGAUCCAGCCAUGCCGCGUGUGGGAAGAAGGUCUUCGGAUUGUAAAGCACUUUAAGUUGGGCGGCGUUACCAACAGCAUACACACCGGCGAACUUCGUGCCAGCAGCCGCGGUAAUAC
rnacentral:rRNA from 1 species